UACGUAGGUGGCGAGCGUUGUCCGGAUUUACUGGGCGUAAAGGGAGCGUAGGCGGACUUUUAAGUGAGAUGUGAAAUACUCGGGCUCAACUUGAGUGCUGCAUUUCAAACUGGAAGUCUAGAGUGCAGGAGAGGAGAAUGGAAUUCCUAGUGUAGCGGUGAAAUGCGUAGAGAUUAGGAAGAACACCAGUGGCGAAGGCGAUUCUCUGGACUGUGACUGACGCUGAGGCUCGAAAGCGUGGGGAUCAAAUAGG
rnacentral:rRNA from 1 species